AUAACAGCACUGAGGAAAGUACAGGAGAAAGAACUGACAAAGGAAAGACUGGAGUCUCCAAGUGAGGACAUACUCAGAGGAUCAGAACCAAGUUUGGCAGUAAAAGUGUUAAAAGACAUGGUGAACAGAAGGAUAUGGCUGAAGUCUGGAAGUGAACAGUUGGGUUAAUAAACAUCGUCAUGGUGGCUGAUAUGUAAAGAAAGAAGAAACUAUGAUGGUUGGGGAAAAGCAGAGGCAAUGCAGAGAUUUCUAGAUGAAGAUUCCUGUGCUGCAAGAAACAGAUGGUGGGCAGCAACACAAAGAGAGAAAGUGAGUUCCCAGGCCUCUUUGCUGUUCACGCUGGGCGCCUGAGCAGAGGAGGAGCAGCUUGAGGCUUGUCCAUCUACUGCAGGACAGCUGUUUACAACCGACUUUUAGCUUGUGAAGUCAGCUGGCAUCUACUGGGAACAGGAAGACUUUUGAGAAAUGAUCUGCAUAUUUUUGAAGGAAACGCUACUCUGCCUAACUGACAACAAAUUGGGGUGAUUUUAUAGUUAGUAUGGCGCUUUAUGUUAUGUAAAGCAGUUUCAACGUCUAGUUUCAUGGGAUGUUCUCAAGGACUUUGAGAGGCUCCAUCAUCCUCACUUUAUUGAUGAGGCUCACAGAGAUUAAACUACUGGCUGAAUAACUAGAACAUGAAACUGGAUUUUCUGGUUUCAAAUCCAGAGCUCUUCUGUCAUUUUGCCGUCUGGAUUUUUACCCAAAUGUCACAGUGGAAGACAUCUUGACAGAGCGCAUCUUGUGGUGAUCAGGCAUUCAUAUUUAUUCCUGGGUCUGUUACUGGUUCUUGCAACUUGUUAAAGGGUGUAGCUCUUACUCCUUCUGCUAAUAGGUUGACGCAUCCUGCAUUUCAAACUUCACGUCAUAAAAUGUGAUAAAAGAUAGACUAUGACUCUUUUGUUCUACUCUACAUAUUUUAAUAUGAUGGACUGGGGCCUUCUAUGAUGUCACCCCCUAAUUUCAUGCUAGGGUUGUUUCGUGUGGGAGAUGAAGUAAUUCAUUGCCCUUUAGGGUAUUCUGGUUAUAAAAAUGUUGGUUUCUGUUUAUAGAAUUUUGCAAUGUGGAGGACUCUGCUCAAGAAAUCCUUUUAAUGGCCACAUAUUUUUAUUUGUAGAAGCAAAAUAUUUUCUCACUGGAAUAUUAUUAUAGUCAAUGUUUGUUUAUUGAGCUAUAUAUACACUCUGUUUUUCAAGAUGGCUGUGAGGAAUUCUACAUUAUUUUUAAGUGACAUAAAAUAUAUUUAUGGACCACUUUAAUAAUCCAUCCCUCACACACAGCCCUCCAUCCCACUCCCAUGCGUUUAUUUAAUUUCAUUAAUAUCUCAAUCUUUAGGUGAAAUAUUUAAUAUUAUGAAGACAUAUAUUCUCCCUAAAUUAAUAAAGUCUAUAAUAUCAAUAUGAUGUUAAUAACGUUUCCAGAUAGACUUUUUUGAGGGAAACUUAAAAAAGGAAAGUAAAGUUCAAUUGGAAAUCAAUUUGUAACAAUACAGGAAACUUCUGAAAAAGGACAGUAGUGCAGGCAGAGAAGGGUCUUAACAAAUAUUGAAUUGAGUUUUAAAGCUACAAGAGGCAAGGCAGAGAGAGUGACCCAGUGGAUAGGCCCUACGAGUGUCUGUGUAUGUGAAGGUGGCAUUUCAAUUAAUCACAGAGAAGGUGGUUCAUUGAGUAACCAGUGUUGGAAUAACAGUGGUUCAUGUGGAAAAGUAAAGGGAUCUCAAUC
rnacentral:lncRNA from 1 species